GUAUCUCCAGUUCCUUUGUUUGUUUUUUGCUGGUUCGUGAAUAAUGGCUGGACGACGUCUCGCGUUCAACUCGCCUUCAACUCCUCUCCGCGGUCAGCAACUUUCGGCCAGUCCGCAGACAGACGAGAAGAAACUGCUGAAUGCUCUCAGUGGAUUGUCUCGUCAACUCCAACAACAAACUGCCGAUAUCAACGAGCGGUUCGCUCCCCUUGACCGUUCGGGACUCUCCAGGUUGCUGUCCAUAGAGGAGAGGUUGGCGGCUCUGGAGGAACUGACUCAAUGAAGAGGAGACGGGCGCACAAUCCCAAGAUAGCGGUAAGAAUAUGUUCGAUGACUGCUAGCUAAGCUAAAAGUAGCGUAGCCUAAAACGAAAGCUAAAAGUAGCCUAGUAGCCUUACAAGUGAGCAGAAACAGCUUUAUUAAAGUGUAUUUUCUUUGCCUUGUAGUUUAUGGGAAGCGGUGCGACGUCUUCACAACUUCGAGACAAAUUAUAGGCGCUACGAACCAGAGCAAGGCCGCCUGUAAGACGUAUUUUGAGACGGUACGCAGGAGCUUCAGGUUUUGCCAGCCGGAACACUCAUUGCGGGCGUAAGCUCCGAGAGAUUCAGCGCUGAGUCGAGCGAGAAGAAAGAGGCUGCUGGAAUUGAGGCAAAGUGUGCUGGCUGAUGACGAGGUGGAACUCUGGAAAUCCGCCACCGUAGAGCUCACGUUGGACGGAGAGGAUGGCGUUGUUGGUGGGGUCUCGGGGUGGAUUGUAUGGUCGCCGCCAUUUCUGAGUCAGUCCCGUUAGAGGCGACUCAGAAAUACAGAGCCACACACACUAGGCGCCUGCACAACAGACCUGCCUCGGAAAACACGCCGCCAGUGAUGGUCUACAACCCCGAAGAGGCAAACAGACAGUUUACUGAGCUGUAGUUUUUUAAACCGCCUUGACCCAAAUGUGGGCAGAUCCUCACUUUGUAUAUAGUUGUUGUUUGUAUGUUGUUAAUAAAGCUCUUUCUUUGCAUAAACAUGUGGCAAAUGUUCAUUUUAUCUAUAAAUUUAUGGAUGUCCUAAUAAUAGUGUAGUAGCCUACAUAGGAUAACAAUGAAAUGAAUAUUCAGCAUAAUAUGAAUAUAUAAAUAAAAUGAGGCGGGUGACCAAUAGCGGCAAAUCUGCCAACCAAUCACGAGUGAUUGAAAGUUGUGGUUUCAUCCAAUCAUGAGCAAGGAAACUCAAGCCUGGUCUGCCCAGGUGUGGUUUUGCUGCCAAUCACGAGGGAAUUUUCUUGUUUGAAAGUUGUGGUUUCAUCCAAUAAGGAGUAAGGAUAUUCAACCCCGCGGGGC
ensembl:lncRNA